AUGGGAGUGAGAAUGUUGGCAUGAGUAGCGAGAUGUGGGUGAGAAUCCCACAGGCCGUAAACCCAAGGUUUCCAGGGGAAGGUUCGUCCGCCCUGGGGUAGUCGGGACCUAAGCUGAGGCCGAAAGGCGUAGGUGAUGGACAACAGGUUGAUAUUCCUGUACUACCGAUAACCGUUUGAGAGAAGGGAUGACACAGUAGGAUAAGCUAAGCACACUGUUGGUUAUGUGUGCCCAAGCAUUGAGGCAGUCAAAGUAGGCAAA
rnacentral:rRNA from 1 species